GUUCGCUGUAAGCCAUUGAUCUCCUAAUGGGUUUCUACGUUGUUCUGUUGCAGCCGCCCCGGGCACAUUCCGCGCUGCGCUCCCCGCGCUGUGACGCGCAUCGCCCCGCACCGCCGCCUGCCCGGAGGGAACGGCAGCGCGCAGGUUGGUGCCGACGCGCACACUGUUAGUGCAGCCUGAUGGCUCCGUUUCUUAAUUACCUCUCUCAGCCUGACUCGGACGCACGGGGCGCGGACGGGUGGCGGUCGCAGCGGCUCGGAGCCGCUCUGCCCGCGGUGCGGAGGCUGUUCCUGCCCGGGGUCGUUCGCGGCGCUGCGCGGCCCCCGGGCGGCGGUGUGCAUGGGGCCGUGCUCUACGUGUGAGCCCUGCCGGGCCCGAACCCGCUGCUGCGGGCUCUGCCGCUGUCACUGCGGCAACAGAGGUGCCGCGGGCGAUGUUUUCUCUAUAAGCAAAGCAAAGGGUGUGGAUCGAGGGCUGGAAAAGCACCAUCAAAGCGGCUCCUUCCUACGUCUGAGCGCCGAUCCGGUCACAGUUAAUCGGCGAACGUCACGACGGCUCUCUGAACAAAACGCCCUUCAGGGAAUCGCCAGAACCGGAGCGAUGGCCGCCUGCAGUGACAUCGAUGGGGGGCGGAUUUGGUGCCCCGAGACGUGUGCGAGUAAGAGCUCAGCCCCGCGCUGAUGGAAACGCGCUCACAGUCCGGUACGGUUUCACCGGUUUACAAACGCCGUCCAUUAAAACACGAUUAUUACCAAACGGCUUCUUUCUAUGCGAGAUCCUCAAAUCCGUUGUUUACAUUGCACCUAUAUUAACAAACCACAAAAUAAGCCCGUAGCGUUUUUAAGAGAGGUUUUAGGCUGGGAACGUGGAAACUUGCCUGGACGAAACGACACGGAAGCUGAAUGAAGGCGAGGAGAUUAUCUGUGUCUGAAGGUUGGGCAUUAGCCGCAAUGA
rnacentral:lncRNA from 1 species